UGGAUUAACUACUUCUGAGCAUUAGAGACUGAGAUGAAUCUUCCCGAAGAAAUCUCAUCACAGAUGGUUGGGAGCCACGCUGAUUAGAAUGCUUACUGUUCCAGCACUAGGACACGUUUAGAGCAGCCACUAGAUUGCAGAGAUAAUCACAGAAGAGUUUAUGUUUCCCUAAUCAGGAGCAACAAGGAAGCCACCUCUUAAUCUAAGAUUUAAAAGGUGUGGGUCAAAGAAGUUGGGUCACCCCAAGAGAAGUGGCAGAGCUGUGGUGUGAACCUGAUUCUACCAACUCUAAGUCCAGAGUAAUCCCCUCUCCCUCCCUGCUGUGUUCAUUAGCCAAGCAGCCUGCUUUGUCUCUGAGUUUGGGAAGACACUUCAUUUGAGUUUUCUUGUCAUUUUGCCAAGCACUGCAUGUCCCCACUUACCACCAAGUUCUGAAAGUGAGCCUCCAGCAGGUCUGUGUUCACCCUCCAAGGUGCCUCCUUCUGAAGGUCUACAACCAGAGUAAUAGUAAAGUGAUUUUGAAGUGUCUUCCUUUUAGUUAAACUACUGGUAUUUAAGUGAUUGUACGAUUAUUUAAAUUGAACCUUAAUGGUAUAACAUUAUACUUCACGGGACUGUAUUUUAUAAAUAGAGAUGAUAUAUAAAGAAUUCUAUAAAUUAUUUGCAUUUUACAAUUAUCUAGAUGGUACAUAUAUUAUAUUUGUAUUGCAUUUUGAUUUUGUUAACUAGUCCUCCAUAACAUAAACCAUUAUACUAGGCAUUUUGCAUAAGCAUUUCAGCAAUUAGACUUAUUUAAAAUUUUAAAGGUUAUAUUGGGUUGUCAAAAAUUGUACUUAAUAUUGUUAAAAGGACAAUUGUGGAAGUAGUUUGAAGUUUACCUAAAUAAAUUUGCAUUGGCUAAAAA